rnacentral:rRNA from 1 species
GAGGAAAAGAAACCAACCGGGAUUGCCUUAGUAACGGCGAGUGAAGCGGCAAAAGCUCAAAUUUGAAAUCUGGUACCUUCGGUGCCCGAGUUGUAAUUUGGAGAGGGCAACUUUGGGGCCGUUCCUUGUCUAUGUUCCUUGGAACAGGACGUCAUAGAGGGUGAGAAUCCCGUGUGGCGAGGAGUGCGGUUCUUUGUAAAGUGCCUUCGAAGAGUCGAGUUGUUUGGGAAUGCAGCUCUAAGUGGGUGGUAAAUUCCAUCUAAAGCUAAAUAUUGGCGAGAGACCGAUAGCGAACAAGUACAGUGAUGGAAAGAUGAAAAGAACUUUGAAAAGAGAGUGAAAAAGUACGUGAAAUUGUUGAAAGGGAAGGGCAUUUGAUCAGACAUGGUGUUUUGUGCCCUCUGCUCCUUGUGGGUAGGGGAAUCUCGCAUUUCACUGGGCCAGCAUCAGUUUUGGUGGCAGGAUAAAUCCAUAGGAAUGUAGCUUGCCUCGGUAAGUAUUAUAGCCUGUGGGAAUACUGCCAGCUGGGACUGAGGACUGCGACGUA